GAAAUGCGAUACGCAAUGCGAAUUGCAGAAUUCCGCGAGUCAUCAGAUCUUUGAACGCAAUUGGCGCUGGUGUAACAACCAGCAUGUUUGUUUCAGUGUGUUAAGGAAUCCCACAUCUCAAUGCGAUUGAUACACAUUUUAUUUUUUUUAUUUAUAAAAAAAAUAAUAUUAUAUCUCUCGUUAAACUUGGAGGACGUUUUGGAAAAAUCCCUCCCUUCGAAGUAGUCAGGUUUUUUACAUCUGAUCUCGUCGGGUUUAAGGAAAUUUCUUGUAUUCUUUCUUUAUUGAAAGAAAACGUUACUUUUUAAACAAUUAAUAAAAAAACACCAACGACACCUGAAAUCAAGCAAGAAUACCCGCUGAACUUAA
rnacentral:misc_RNA from 1 species